rnacentral:rRNA from 1 species
CAGCAGGAUGACGAAGAUGGACAUGACCACGAUGAGCGCCGCGAAGAGGAUGAACACCCCCCACCGGAGGUGGCACAUGGCCGCCAGGAAGCACUGCGCCACGGCCGCCGUCCAGAAGAGGUUCACGCACACCACCACGCUCUGCCCCGCCGACCGCAUCUCCAGCGGGAACAGCUCGCUCGGCACCAGCCACCCCAGCGGCCCCCACGACCACCCGUACGCCACCACGAACAAGCAGAUGGCCACCACCAGCACCGUGCUCACGCCCUUGGACAGCUCCUCCCCGUCCCCGGCCUCGAUGAACAGCACCCGCCGCCCCAGCCGGUCCACCACCAGCAUGGACACCAGCGCGCCCACCACCAGCAUCGACCCGGUGAUGAUGGAGGAGUAGAGCGCCGCGGAGGAGCCGAACCCCAGGCUCUGGAAGAUGACCGGCGAGUAGAAGAGGAUGGAGUUCAUGCCGGACAGCUGCUGGAACGCCGGGAUGCCCAGCGCGCCGAUGAUGAGCUGCGGCCGGUUCCGCACGGCCAGCAGGUUCCGGAACGUGCCGCGCACCGCCCGCGCCGCCUCGCUCGCCUCCUUGAGGUCCUCGAACUCGGCGUCCACCUUGUGCGUCCCGCGCACCUUCUCCAGCACGCGCCGGGCCUCCUCCAGCCGCCCGCGCUCCACCAGGCUGUUGGGCGUCUCCGGCAGGAACAGCGCGCCGACGAAGAUGGCGGUGGCGGGGACCACGGCGAGGCCCAGCGAGAGGCGCCACCCCCACGGGUGGAUCCGGUCGGUGAAGUAGUUGAUGACGUUGGCGACGAGGAUGCCGAGGCAGGUGGUGAGCUGGAAGAGCUGGUUCACGGCGCCGCGGAUCUUGAAGGGCGCGAUCUCGGACAGGUAGAGCGGCACGGCCUG